rnacentral:rRNA from 1 species
UAGAGUUUGAUCAUGGCUCAGAAUCAACGCUGGCGGCGUGCAUAACACAUGCAAGUCGAACGAGAAAGCGGGGGCAACUCCGCAAGUAAAGUGGCAGACGGGUGAGUAACACGUGAAUAACCCACACCCCUGUGGGGAAUAACCCCGCGAAAGCGGGGCUAAUACCGCAUAACAUCACGGGAUCGCAUGGUCUUGUGAUCAAAGGCUUCGGUCGCUGGGGAAGGGGUUCACGCCUGAUUAGCUAGUUGGUGAGGUAACGGCCCACCAAGGCAACGAUCAGUAGCCGGCCUGAGAGGGCGUACGGCCACACUGGAACUGAGACACGGUCCAGACUCCUACGGGAGGCAGCAGUGGGGAAUUUUGCGCAAUGGGCGAAAGCCUGACGCAGCAACGCCGCGUGGAGGAUGAAGGUCUUCGGAUCGUAAACUCCUGUCAGGGGGGACGAAAGCCGCGCAAGCGGUCUGACUGUACCCUCUGAGGAAGCCACGGCUAACUCCGUGCCAGCAGCCGCGGUAAUACGGAGGUGGCAAGCGUUGUUCGGAAUUACUGGGCGUAAAGGGCGCGUAGGCGGCUUGGCAAGUCAGAUGUGAAAGCCCCGGGCUUAACUUGGGAAUUGCAUCUGAAACUGCUUUGCUUGAGUCCUGGAGGGGGUAGUGGAAUUCCCAGUGUAGCGGUGAAAUGCGUAGAUAUUGGGAGGAACACCUGCGGCGAAGGCGGCUACCUGGACAGUGACUGACGCUGAGGCGCGAAAGCUAGGGGAGCAAACGGGAUUAGAUACCCCGGUAGUCNNNNCCGU